GAUGAACGCUGGCGGCGUGCUUAACACAUGCAAGUCGAACGGGAAACCUUUUAUUGAUGCUUCGGCAGAUUUAGCUGGUUUCUAGUGGCGGACGGGUGAGUAACGCGUGGGUAUCCUGCCUUAUACAGGGGGAUAACAACCAGAAAUGGUUGCUAAUACCGCAUAAGCGCACAGGACCGCAUGGUCCGGUGUGCAAAACUCCGGUGGUAUAAGAUGGACUCGCGUUGGGUUAGCUAGUUGGCAGGGUAACGGCCUACCAAGGCGACGAUCCAUAGCCGGGCUGAGAGGGUGAGCGGCCACAUUGGGACUGAGACACAGCCCAGACUCCUACGGGAGGCAGCAGUGGGGGAUAUUGCACAAUGGGGGAAACCCUGAUGCAGCGACGCCGCGUGAAGGAAGAAGUAUCUAGGUAUGUAAACUUCUAUCAGCAGGGAAGAUAGUGACGGUACCUGACUAAGAAGCCCCGGCUAACUACGUG
rnacentral:rRNA from 1 species